GAUGAACGCUGGCGGCGUGCCUAAUACAUGCAAGUCGAGCGAACAGAUAAGGAGCUUGCUCCUUUGACGUUAGCGGCGGACGGGUGAGUAACACGUGGGUAACCUACCUAUAAGACUGGAAUAACUCCGGGAAACCGGGGCUAAUGCCGGAUAACAUUUAGAACCGCAUGGUUCUAAAGUGAAAGAUGGUUUUGCUAUCACUUAUAGAUGGACCCGCGCCGUAUUAGCUAGUUGGUAAGGUAACGGCUUACCAAGGCAACGAUACGUAGCCGACCUGAGAGGGUGAUCGGCCACACUGGAACUGAGACACGGUCCAGACUCCUACGGGAGGCAGCAGUGGGGAAUCUUCCGCAAUGGGCGAAAGCCUGACGGAGCAACGCCGCGUGAGUGAUGAAGGUCUUCGGAUCGUAAAACUCUGUUAUUAGGGAGGAACAAAUGUGUAAGUAACUGUGCACGUCUUGACGGUACCUACUCAGAAAGCCACGGCUAACUACGUG
rnacentral:rRNA from 1 species